UCUAGGGCUGUGUUCCAUCCUGGCUGCCCUGUGGAAGCCCUGAAGAAAUGGGACGUGGCCCUGUGGAAGCAGGCUGACUUGAAGAGCUGCUGAUGCUGGAGCCCGUCCUAGAGAGUCUGAUUCAAACUGUCUGAGUUAACUACAAUGAACGGCCACAGAUGAGAGCUACCAGACUGGGAGUUAGGGGACAACAAGGGGACAUCGCAGGGCACACUGCUGCUCUAAACAAAAUAGAGGCUCUGCUGGGAAGGAAAAAAGGAAAAUAGGACUUCGGGCACAAACCCUCAACCUAUGGACAUGGUCCCCUUGAUUGUCAGCAUCUGACUCUGACUCUGCACAAGACCUGGGGGAAGCUGCACCAGGAGGGAUGGACAUGCUGCCCAGGAAACACUGGCGAGAGAGGGAGGAGGCUGGCAAAGG
rnacentral:lncRNA from 10 species